GAUCCGUAAGGAGAGGCUGUGGAAACCGGCGAACGGGUGCGUAACACGUGAGAAACCUGCCCCCCAGACCGGGAUAGCCCAGGGAAACUUGGAUUAAUACCGGAUAUUCUCUUUGGAUCGCAUGAUCCGUUGAGGAAAGGUCCGCUGCUGGGGGAUGGUCUCGCGGCCUAUCAGGUAGUUGGUGAGGUAACGGCUCACCAAGCCGAAGACGGGUAGCUGGUCUGAGAGGACGAUCAGCCACACUGGAACUGAGACACGGUCCAGACUCCUACGGGAGGCAGCAGCAGGGAAUAUUGCACAAUGGGCGAAAGCCUGAUGCAGCGACGCCGCGUGCGGGAUGAAGGCCUUCGGGUUGUAAACCGCUUUCAGGAGGGAAGAAAAUGACGGUACCUCCAGAAGAAGCUCCGGCUAACUACGUGCCAGCAGCCGCGGUAAUACGUAGGGAGCGAACGUUGUCCGGAUUUAUUGGGCGUAAAGGGCUCGUAGGCGGUUCAAUAAGUCGGUCGUGAAAGCCUGGGGCUCAACCCCGGGAUGCCGGUCGAUACUGUUGUGACUUGAGUUCGGUAGAGGUGAGUGGAAUUCUCGGUGUAGCGGUGGAAUGCGCAGAUAUCGAGAGGAACACCCGUAGCGAAGGCGGCUCACUGGGCCGAUACUGACGCUGAGGAGCGAAAGCGUGGGGAGCAAACAGGAUUAGAUACCCUGGUAGUCCACGCCGUAAACGAUGAACACU
rnacentral:rRNA from 1 species